GCUGGCGGCGUGCCUAACACAUGCAAGUCGAACGAGAAAGUGGAGCAAUCCAUGAGUAAAGUGGCGACCGGGUGAGUAACACGUGACUAACCUACCUCCGAGUGGGGAAUAACUCCGGGAAACCGGGGCUAAUACCGCAUAACAUCGCAAGAUCAAAGCAGCAAUGCGCUUGGAGAGGGGGUCGCGGCUGAUUAGCUAGUUGGCGGGGUAACGGCCCACCAAGGCGAAGAUCGGUAUCCGGCCUGAGAGGGCGCACGGACACACUGGAACUGAAACACGGUCCAGACUCCUACGGGAGGCAGCAGUGGGGAAUUUUGCGCAAUGGGGGAAACCCUGACGCAGCAACGCCGCGUGGAGGAUGAAGCCCUUUGGGGCGUAAACUCCUUUCGACUCGGAAGAUAAUGACGGUACGAGUGGAAGAAGCACCGGCUAACUCUGUGCCAGCAGCCGCGGUAAUACAGAGGGUGCAAGCGUUGUUCGGAAUUAUUGGGCGUAAAGGGCGCGUAGGCGGUGCGGUAAGUCACCUGUGAAAUCUCCUGGCUUAACUGGGAGCCUGCAGGCGAAACUACCGUGCUGGA
rnacentral:rRNA from 1 species